GCCGGGGUCGGCCGGGGAGCAGCUCCCCUGUGGAGGGAGCGGGGCCGGGCAGGGCGCUGGGGCGAGCCAAAGCGGGAAGCUGGCAGCAGGCAGGAGGCGUUGGGCCCGGCCGCAGCGCUCCCCGCCUCACGCUCCGGCCCCGGGAGCCGGGGUCCCGGCGGGGGCAGGAGCUGCCGCUGAGGGGAGGCCCCCGAGUCCCUGCUCCAGCGCCGUGAGGCGAGCGCGGGCACGGUGUGAGGUGAAUUCGCAUCUAACCGGAGCUACAGGUUGCUCAAAGUGGGCUGAAAGUGUCUUAGAAAUUACUCCUACUACCAGUUUUAAUCAGUGACCGAGCACUCAGGUGUGACCGCCCAUACUCCGCAGUGUUUCCUUGCGUAGCUGCAAGCCUGCCCCGAUGUCCCUGUGCGCAAACUGGAGGCCGGUGGCUGCAGUAGCGCAAUGUGGAGACCAAAUCCAUCAGCUGUGCGUGUAGCUGGGUGUCUCGUGCCUGGCACUAGUCAGAGCUGCACAGAGACGCACACCUGCCUGCAGAGCUGCUAACAGCACAGCAUCUCCCCUUGGUUUCUGUGGGGUCCAGCACCUCUGAAAAACAAGCUAUUUAUUUAGACCUGAAUUUGCAUGGAGUGGCUUCUUCACGCACUGUUAAUCAAGAAUGUAUUCCUCCCACGUUAUGUGCGAAACCAAUCUGCGUGGCAGCAUGGAUACAGAGUCAAACCGCAGGCCUGGUCCACAACUAGAACUUAAAGAGUGAGCACAGAAGGGUGCACACAGCAAGAUGCUGCACUUCACGGGACAAUAUCUGGAAACUGGCAGCUAGAAUGACCUGCUACUCAACCCUUGUUGAGAGGGAAUCUCACACAAAAAUUGAAACUUCCCCAAAAUCAGUUGCUGACCUAAAUGACAGUGGGAAGCUUCAGAGUAAAAUGAGGAACAUAUUUUACAAUACAAGUGUUACUCUUAAGAGGGUGACCCCAUGUUAAUUUCAACAAAUUCCAACUCACCAAAAGUCAGUGUUUUAUUGCAUGAGAAGCUCAAAAGUAUCAUUCCCAUGUGAGAAAUCCCGCAGACGCUUGCCUAACAUGGAAGACAACAUGGAUGCAAAAAAUGUAUUUGAAACACAGGAAAAUAUAUGCUGCCUUAGGGGUGCAUCAGAGAAUGGUGAUGACCUAAUUAAUUUUAACAGUAUGGUCUGCGUCGCUGCUGGAGAAGCAGAGAAAUACUGCAUCAGUCAGGUGCAUUCCCACCCUACAGAUCUAAUCACUGAUCACACAGACAAUUGUUGCCUUAAAGUGGAAGACUCGAUUUCUUGUCCACCUCCAGCUGAAGUCCAGACACAUGGAAAGACUGGGUUCAGUAGACCUCUAACCAUGAAUGCCGUGUUGAGUGAGCAGGCAGAUACUCCCGUAGUAAAUCAGAAUUAUUUUACAAAACAUGAUUCUGAAAAUUCUGGAGGCAUUUUGGAGGCUUGUGCAAGUGUAAGUGAUGACUUUUCUGAUGAUGUCCUAGAGUAUUUUGAAUGUUCAGAUGUGCUGACAGCACAUGAAAAUGAAAUCUGGGAAAAGAAAUUACAGUUUUUAUUAGAAAGCGGUGAUGAAGAUGAUUUAAAACUGAGUAAGGAUUGUGAUGGGUGUGCUUACUUCCUCAGUGAGAUGCCGUGUCUGUUCCGAGUGUCAGAUAACACUACGCCUAUGGAUACUACCAUUGGCUUCUGUGGUCAUCACUCAAAAUUCAAAGGAGUAAAUGUAAGGAGAGACCCCUCUACAUACAGCCAGUCAACUUUGCAGGCAGAGAUGACUCUAGCUGUUGGACAACACCGAGAUAAAACUACCAGUGUGAAAGACGAAGAGAAGGGUAAAGUGCCUGUUGCAUCUGCUGUCAUUAAAAAUGAGUGUCUCCGAACUGAAGAAGAAAAUAAUGGAAUUGGCCAGACAGAUUUCUCAACCAGCAAACCUCAGAAUGUGGAUAAUGUACAUGCAAAGGCGGACUCCUCUACUGGUGGCAUAGGUACUGCUUUGACAAAUCAGGCUUCAGAGACAAUGACAGAAAGCAAGGUGGACGAGAACUUGCUAGGUGAAAACUCAUUGCUGCUAGAGGAGGGGAGAAGAAAUUCAUCAGAGGAAAAUGCAAGGCAUGCUGUCUCUACCUUAACAGAAACUCUAACAAGAAACCUUUUAAAGUUGCUAAACCCUAUAGAGCUCUGCAGAUAUGUUGGUAAUAUAGGGCAAUCUUUUCAGGCUGCUACAGAGGUGAGGGAAUCCAGUGCUUUGUUUCCCAGUCAGGAAGGAGUCUUUUCAGCACAAAUGUGUGAGGAGACAGAAAGCUUGCAAAUGCAGGCUGGUUUGUGUCGUACAGAAGAGGCGGAUAAAGACUGUCAUUGGGAACAGAAAAAGACUCGGGGCCCGUCUGAGCAAAAUCAGGUGCCAGAUGACAACGUCUCACCCAGGAAUCAAGGUGCCAGUCUUAAAAUCUCUAUCCAGAAUUGUGAUAGAGAAUGUAUGGAGCCUGAAAUAGCAAAGGAAGGCAUCCUCAUAACCUGCCAGAAUGCAGAAAACAUCCAUUCAGCUUCAGAAUGUACUGAAAAGCCACUACAAGCAAAAAAUGGAAGUUUACAAACCUAUUCUCAACACUGUGCUCCUUGUGAUAAGAGAGAAAGUUGUCACCAGCAAGUCUUCUGGGAACAAGGGAAGGAUAUUAGUAGUAAUGGCAACAAAUCAAAGAAAGACAUUUCACCUUUUCCCUUAUGGGACGCAGACUCUGUUCCUGAUAAACAAGAAAGUUUAUGUGCUGUUCUCUCUUCUGCAAAGCUGUGUGAUGAGCCAAAGGAGGGAGGGCAAAGGUAUGGUUUUGAUUCGCAUGAUGGCAAUGACAGAGAUACUCUCUGCAGUGUAUCAUGUGAUGAGUCUCUGUUUGAAGCUAAUCCCAAGUCAGUUCUGGAAUCUGGAGAACCUGGGUGCAAAGGAGAUGCCGAUUUAUCUGCAGUGCAUGACAAGCUCUGGAAACUUCUUCAAGAAGAUGACUCAGACUAUCAAAUCCCAUUUGAAAACUGGGGAAUCACAAGUUUGGAGGUAAGGCUGACAGAUACCAAAGUCACAGAACCGAACUCUGUGCAAGAGACCUGUUCUGAUCAUCCUUUGCCCUCAAAUUUCGUAGAACAGCAGGAACCUAUUACACAGCCACCUACUAGACAAAGAACAGAGAAAGAAGACUGCAGUGUCUCUAACGUCCUACUGAAAACAGAUGAAGCGUGUAACAGUGCAUCCAUAGAAAACUUUUCUCUUACACGAGUGGUAGAAGCAGAUGGUUUAUGUAUAAGUUCUAGCACUGAAAAUAAAACAGAAACACCAUCCACUUGUAUUUCAGAAAAUAGUAUCUUAAAUACAGAGGAGUGCUUCGAGCAGAAGCCAAAUCAAACAUUAAUUGUCAAUAAUGGAGCUGUUCAAAUGACUGUUUCUCGGGAAGGAAAGCUUACCGUUAAUAACACUUUCCAAACAUGUGAUACAGAUUCUCAAAGAUUAAAAAAUGCUCAGAGUAGUAACUUAGCAUGUGAUAAACAAAACCCAGCUUACAUGUCAGAUAAGUCACGUUGGACAACUGGACAAUUACCUCAUACUGAGCAGAACAUAUCCUUGAUAAAUGAGAAUAUGACUGAAACCACAGAUGAAGAUGCUGGUAAAGACUGUCAUUUUAAAGACUGUUACCUAGAAAGAAAAAAACUGGUGUAUUUCCCUGAGGAGAAAGUUAUUUUCCUCAGUAAUUCCUCUGUUGAAAAUACCCAUCAGUUUACACAUGAAAAACACUCUUCUGUUAACACCAUACAUAGAAGUUAUGAAAAUAAUUUACCAGAAAAAAGAAAUCACUCAGAGUUGAAUGCACAAAAUGGCACUAAUUGUAGCAGUUAUCAUCCUUCAAAAAAUUAUGACUCUCGAGAUUUUCAAGUUGUUUCUAAUACACAGAAAUAUAGUUACCCAAUGAAAUUGCCUAAUUUCAUUAAGACUCCUGAAACCAUAACAUGUAAGAAUCUACCCCAAAAUGUGCACCAAAUGACAGAAUUAGAAAAACAAGAAGUGAUGUUCACUGCCUCUUCUGAGAGUCCCCUUUUAACAGAUUUCUUGGUAAAAGUGCCCAAAUAUGAGCCAAGUAAACCAGGAAAAGAACAGAGAGCCAUUUUCAUAGGUGAUGAACAAAGGGCUGAAGCAUCCUGUGACUCUGGAGUCAGGCAUGUUUCAGAGAGUCAGCCUGCAGUUUCCCCUCAUAACGUGUCUGAACAACAUUUAUUUUUUGCUGACAACACCUUUAAGUUUGACGAAGAGUUAAAAACAGGUUAUUUGAAAAGUCCCACGUAUGCCUCUGGGAAUGUAACGUCAGUGUCAGUAAGUACCCUGCUGCCUAGAAAGGUUCAGAAUGAGUACUGCACAGUAGCGAAGGAAGAUUGUAGAGACAUCGGUAAUCAGAUGGAUCUCCAGCAACAGAGUGUAAGAGAAACAUCACCAUUCAUACCUGUAAGGCAGUCAGAGGGCUCUCUUAACAGUGUAGCAGCAAUGGGGUGUUCUGGCACAGGAAGUCACGUACAAACAGAAUGCACACAAACUGCUGUCAAAGGAGAUGAAAAAUUGACUGAGUUGGAAGCUUUCUGCGAAGCAUUGCAGGAUCACAUCCAUAGGGUACCAGAAGAAAAUAAGGAGGAAGCGAUCUUGCGUGGAAAUAAACAAGAGAUUCAAAGAACUACUGAAUACAACCUGGAUGCUGCUAAAAUGAAGUCUCCUUUGCACGCUUUAAUUAGCUCCAAGGCUCAGAGGCGGAUUAGGAAUAGUAUCGCUAAGCAGUCCUCUCCUGACUUGAUCACUUCCAGCAAGCUGGCUGAGGUUGAUUGUUCAAUUAAGUCUACUGAGCAUGAUAAAGACGAAGGAGUCAUGACUUCAGAGACUGCACUAAGUGCUUUAGUUAACCUGCCAGCAGUUGAUUCGGGGGACAGCCGCUCUCUUCAAAGGCAGCCACCCUACAGCAGGACUCAGCCACAUUCCUUAGCAUUGGCCACAUAUGAUCCGUUCUCAGUCAGUGUGGAAAGGCCAGAAAAUCAAGAAGGGUCAAAGUCCUGCCAGACAUCACCAACUGUUGCUGAGUCUGAGCCCAUCAAAUGUAAACACACAGCAAAGAGUGAGAACUUAGCUACUGGAGCAAAGAAGAAAUUACCACCAGCAACACUGUCGAAAAAACCCCGACUGGAGGAGAGAGGAAAUGUCAGCAAGGAUCCUAGCUGUGUUAGAAGUGAGGCAAACAUGAUUCAUAAAGAAAAUAGAAAAGAGCAAAGGAAACUAAUUUUGAAAAAGGAUAGCAAAGCUCCCAAGCUGCUGAAGAAAAUCCAAGCAGAGUUGUUCCCUGACUGCUCUGGAAAUGUUAAGCUGUGCUGCCAGUUUGGAGACAUUCAUGGGGACUCCACCAUUACAUGGACUAAAGACUCCAAGUUACUAGCUCGACUGCAGAGAAAUGCCCAGGAUGACUCUCCUGUCUCUUUGGCGAUAGCUAAAGCCAGUGACAAAGACCAAGGAAUGUAUUAUUGCUGCUUGAAUAAUAUAUAUGGAAAGGUAACUGCGGAGUUUAAUCUGACUUCUGAAGUCCUGGAACAUCUUUCAAGUUUUCAGAAUUUUGAAGGUGUGGAAGAAAUUGAAUUCAUGCAGCUCAUGUUCAGAGAAGAUUUCAUCAGUGACAGUUAUUUUGGUGGGAACCUGCAUGGAAUAAUAGCUACAGAAGAAUUUCACUUUGGUGAAGGCAUGCAUCGGAAAGCUUUCCGGAGUAAAGUGAUGCAAGGCCUUGUACCAGUGUUCAGCCCUGGCCAUCCCUGCGUUCUCAAAGUGCACAAUGCUAUCACGUAUGGGACCAAGAGUAAGGAUGAUCUAGUUCAGAAGAACUACAAACUAGCACUGCAGGAAUGCUAUGUCCAAAAUACUGCAAGAGAGUAUGCGAAGAUAUAUGCAGCUGAAGCUGAACCUUUGGAAGGCUUUGGAGAAGUACCAGAGAUUAUUCCUAUUUUUCUUGUUCAUCGCCCCGCUAAUAACAUCCCCUAUGCAACAGUGGAGGAGGAGCUGAUUGGGGAAUUUGUGAAAUACUCUGUCAGGGAUGGCAAGGAAGUCAAUUUCCUGAGGAGAGACUCAGAAGCUGGCCAGAAGUGCUGCACCUUCCAGCACUGGGUGUAUGAGAAAACCAAUGGGAGCUUGCUUGUCACUGACCUGCAAGGUGUAGGAAUGAAGUUAACUGAUGUUGGCAUAGCAACACUGGCCAAAGGGCUUUACCCCCCACUCACACGCCUGAGAGGGAAAAUAGCGUGGGCGCAACCCUCGCAGGCAGCGGAACCUUCCGGAAGGCGCCCUCCCGACACAGGGCCUGCGCUGGGGGCAGUUGGCGGCUGUGUUCUGCAGGGAGGAGAUGCACGUUUUCUGCCUGUGUUUUCUGCUCCCUUCGGAGCCAUCUCGCUGCAGCUGUCUUUGGCCUGCUUGGACCUGCUUGCAGAGGACACGAAAGAUUCCUUCAAAUGCUACUUCAGGAGCUCCAGAAGGAUUGCUAGGUGGCUAGAGUGUCAGAAGAUAAAAGCUCAAAUCCUGCUCAGGACCUCAGAAAGAGUGCCUUUUUAGCCAAAGUGUUAACAUGCUGAAGUUUCUGGACUGUGGCUACUUAUUGUCAGCGCUGGACUGUACUUGCCAGUGGGAGCUGUGAAGCAGGCUAAACCAAGCAUUCUUCAGAGACUGUCAGAAGCAAUGGCAAGCUACUGAAGUUGAACCUUGCUACUUCCUGGAACACAUUCUGCAACUGUGUCAGCAGAUAAGUACUAACUUUUCUUUGCCUUUUAAUAAAUACAUGCACACACACACACGGUAUUGUCCCAAGCUAAAAUGUAUUUGAAAUAGGCACAGACAUCACUCUCUCCCCUUUCCUGGCCCUAUAACAAUACAGAAAAGCAAUAAUUUUAUGCUUUUAUGACUUACCAUGUGUGAGCUCUGGGCAGUUUAUCAGGAGUUCCCCAUUGCUCUAUUGUAAACAGCUGAGGACCAUUUGAACCUGGAUGAAAAUGAAAAAUAGGAAAUUUUAAAUUACUGGACAUUACAGAAACUACCUAAAUGCUAUUUUAAAAAUUAUAUGUUUGCACAAAUUAAGUUUUCCUUAAGGCUAAGUUUUCAACUGGUAUAGAAUACCUGGUACAAAUUCCCUCAAUCAAAAUUACAUUAAAGUAAAUAGGAAUGCAGAUACUUAUUUGCAAAUAAAUAGUUAGCUUAAGUUUACCUUGCUACCUUUGCAUAGAGUAUGUAUAAUGCCAAUGAAAUAAGCUCAAAUAUUAACACUGGAAAAAAAUAGCAUUCUUGGAUAAACUUGCAGUCUCCUCUUCUUCAUGUGCUGUGAAUAUUAUUGUUGUUGAUAGCUGAACUCUUCUUUGGGGAGUUGAUUCAUUCCUUAGCAAGGAGAAUGUCUACACAACACCCACUGUGCACAAAAACUUUUACUUCUCAAGGUGCCCCCCAAGUACUCCAGGGCUGGUGGAAUCUAGAAGAAAUCUUAUGUGGGAGUAAAGGUUGACUAUACCUAUAUUUCAUUAAUGCCCAGGCUUUCCUGUGGAAGUUCAGAAGCGGUCUGUAUAGUCAUUCUAAAGGUGAGCAUAAUGGGUGGGCAGCUGAAAGGAAGCUUACCAUAAAGUUCAGCAAAUCCAUUCAUAGGCACGCGUGACGUCCCAGUAACAAACUGCAGUAAUCGAAUCCGUUUUUCAGCAUCCAUCAGUAAAACAGCCUAUUGAGAAAGAAAGAGUCACUUUCACAGCUGUACAUGUUGCUGUUAAGCAAAAACCAACCCAAACCUGAGUACAUUAUCUAUUUGUAUUAGACUGUAAUAAACAGACAUGUAACUUUGAAGGGGGGCAUAGAGGUAGCAGGCCAUUUCUCUGGUUAAACCAGAGGCAUCCUUUUCCAACUGUCCUCAGGCCACAACAAAGAGACGAUACCCUGGCAGCAGCUGGAAGCUACAACUGCUGUUCACCUUUGAGGUGACUUGCUUUUUCAUACCAUCUAUGACCUGUACCUGCCUGGUGGCAUGUGAUAAUUUAUAAAUAUACCUAGCAGGGAGAAUAGAGAAACAGAGAUGGCAGAAAAACCUUAAACAUCAGGCAGAGGAAUGCAGUUUCAAAGAAGAAUCAGUGUUGCACUACGACAGGAUCUCUUAGGACCAUAACACUGUUUGGGUUAGUGAAACAUCACUAUAUCAUAAUGAUUGUUGGUACAAUUACAUAGUCUUACAUCAUCAUGACAAUGAUUUUAAAAAGGCAGAAACAAACAAACUGCAACACAGUAAGGUAGCUUUGACUUUUAGGAAUAGCCACAGAAGUGAAAUGUGAUAAGAGUAUUACCUUCCAGAACCACUGGAUAACAGGAUGAUUUGGGCAGUAACCGUUUUUGUAGAUUGUGUGUUGCCUCCAGUCAUUAACAUCAACAUCGCCAAGGCCACACAUCAGUAACUGUAUACAGAAGUAAUCAUUAGGGUGUUAACUGAAGAUGGUAUUAGUAUUAUCCUGUGCACUUUAACAGAAAAACAAGAUUAAGCUCUCCCUCUGUUAUUUGACCUCUUAAACAGCUAAGUGGUGCAAAUAUAAAUGCAGACACAAAGGAGAGCUGAGCUCCUCUUCAAGAGAGUUCUCAAAGAAUAUCUCACUUUCCUGAAGAAACACUGUACAAUAUGAAGCACAUGUGCUUCACGUGACAGCAUCUUUUAUAGUAUUUUGCUCAAAAUAUGACGGGUAUAAGCAUAACAACAUUAACUCAGUAAGUUACUUGCAUGCUUUACAUAUCAACAUACUCAACCACCUCAUUGAGUAAAUAAUAUUUUUGUACUUUUACUUUAUCAAUAGGUUUAUUAUUUUUUUAGGGAAAAAGUUCUCAUUUCUCACUAUAAGUAAAGCAUCUUUGUCUCCUAAUUCACUGAAGAUCUAGUGACUUCAGGAUAUAACAUAUCUUUUGCAAUGAGAUUGAUCUGGUUUAUUGUCUCUGGACAUCAGUUACACAAACUCACCUCUAGUUCAUUUUCAUCAAAAAUUUUAAUCAGGUCAAUAGGAAGAAGUUCUGUGAAUCCCUAAGAGAAAGCAAAAUAAGGGUGAUAUUAGCACAAUAUGUAACACUAAGUUUUUUAUCUACGGGUCUUGGCUUCAGGGAAAGCCACUAGUUAAUUAAAUGACAGACAACAAAGAAGGAUUUUGAAAAUGAAAUACAUGGUUCCUGAGUAUUAAUGAAUCUCUAAUUUAAAAAUUAAUCACUAGAUUAUUUCAAACUCAAGUAAUUUAAACUUGAAAGAGAAUAAUCUUAUAAAAGGAGAACUGUGAAACCAUUAUAUGUAAGCAUUCCAGAACUUGUGCAGUCAUGCAAAGCUUCUCACUCCCUUAAUGAGAUACAGAUAUAUGAGAAGUCUACAUAAAAAUAUAUAUGUAUUAUGUGGGUAGAACGGAAAAAAAGUACUUUACCUCCAAAAAAGCAUUCAUUUGUUUUUGAACUCUGUUGACAAACCUCCACUGGAUGACCAGACUAUAGUAGUUAAAUAAAAACAUGAACACAUUCAUUAGAAGACUUUAGACUUAAUUAGCAACCUUAACAGUUUCCGUUUCUCUUCAAGCAUCUCCCAACAAUACUUUGAUGCUAAGGAAACUAAAUUAGACAGACAUCCUAUUUGCAUUCUUUUCUCCAGAAUUAGUUUGCUGUCCAGAUCUGCCUUUACUCUUGUUUUGUAUUCUGUGACAGCAGUUCAUCAGGAAAAACAAAAUUCCAGGGUAGAAACUCACUCCCAUUAGGAGCUCUGCGAAGCUGACAUAGUUAACCCUAGGCACUUCGGUGUAGUCAAUGCACAGAAGCAGGCCAAAUUCAUAUGCCUGCUUUAACAUGAUAAUUACUAUAUCCAAGAAGUGCCAUUUUUUUCACAAUUUCAUCAAUUGUGAAGGGUGAAGUUUCAGCUUAGAGUAAUUGGUGAGUAAUUUAGAUGUAGAUGUCUGCAAUAAUAAUAAUAAUUCAGAGAAAUGCCAUCUCUUCUUGAAUAUUCCUCAUGCCUACACAUCAUCAAGAAGAUACUGUUUCCUGUUACAUCAUAGACUACCUUGAUUAGUUAAAUCAUACAACAAUAAAGGUUAAAAUCUAAACUUUCUAAGGAUCAAGUGUAAACAAACUAUGUUAACAAAAGGAUUUUCUUUUAGAAGGGAUGUCUGAUGAUUUAUUGCACUACAAUAAUUACAGUAGGGUGAAUUUCAAACCAGUACUACUGUGUAUUGUUACACUCCAGAUAAAUUCCAUAAAUAUAUACUUACUCAAUGUAUUCCCUUUUGUUUUCAUUUGUUACCAUGAUUUCUGACCCAUUUGGCUUCAGGUCAACUUGAUACGUCUAUAUUUUAAAGAAGAAAAAAAAAACCACAACAACAAAAGAUGACAUUAUUUCAGGACACGUUUCUCAUGAAAUCCACUGCCCUUGAGCAGCAUUUUACAAGUAGUACUAGAAAACUAUUAUACUGUAAUAGCUAAUGAGCCAUCAUAGUAUUUCACAUCUAAAGAUGGAAUCAUUACGAACAAAUUAUUCUGUGAUCACUCUUAAGAAUGAAUUAUUUUCAAAAUUCUAGUCCUGAACAGCAGGUUCAUUUGGGUAAAGAAAACACAUACUUCAUUUUCAUAAGGAUAGAAAAAUGUCUUCUAACUCUUCAAAAUGUUUGAAAAAAAAUACCAUUUAAAAUCCAGAGAGAAAUUCUUCUGUUAAAAGGACAAAUAAGCAAAGUAGAAAAAUGCAUUACAGAAAUGUUUAAACGCAGAUUUGUUGAGAAUGGUGAGCACAACCAUCAUAUGAGCAUAAGAUGGAAACAAACAGAUUCAUUACAGUUCACAAGAAACUACAAGACCAAAUAAUACAUUCAAUUUUUGGUGAAAGUAAUUUAUCAGCAGAAAUUCAACAGAAUUAAUGCAGACUUAGGUUCCAUGAAAGCCAGAAGUUGCUAACUUUUUUUACCAGUUAAUGCUUACACAAAAGAGCUACCAAACCAUGUGCUCAGUAGUGCAGCUAUGGGGAAGGAUAUUUCUGAAUGCAGAUGCCGGUGUUUACAUACAUUGUAGGCACAAGAUUUCAUUUUUUAAAAAGAAUGGGCACUUGGGAGCAUUUUUCAUUAAAGGAAAAGAGAGAAGGAAAGUCAAAUAUUCUGGCUAUUGUCGGGAACUUCCCCAACAACCCCACACAUACUAUGAAAACAUGGAAAAAUGUUAUAUUCAAGACAAAAGAAAUCAUAAAUGCCAUUACUUAAUCUGCAACCCCUGAUACAUAGAAACAACAUGCAGAGAUAUAAUAAGGUAAGCUAAGAAACAAAUCUAUGAUCCUCAACCUGCAGCUAUUUAUAAAAGCAGUUUGUAAAGUGUCCCCAAAAGCAUAAACACUUAUGAACAUUUAUUUUUUUUUAAAUUAUGCGUCACUCGUCAUGCACUUCACUGAUUAUCAUUCUACUAUUUAUUUUGUCUUUUGAGAACAUCUUCACCUAUACCUAUAGGCCCCAAACAGUCCUAAGCUGAGACAAUUUUCCAAUAAAGAUUCUGUAACACCUUUAUUACUCCUUAUUUCAGUCCCGAUCAGGUCCACAAGCACGUGAUGCUGGCUUUUGGCAAUAACCAGUAGGAUGGAUGUACAGACUUUUGGGUUAAUCUUUACAUACCUGUCCGAAGUUUUCCUCAUCUAUGCAAAACAUGAGAUCUAGCUCUGUAGGGUCAUUUUCCAGGAUCCACUUCAAAGAGUUGUAGUAUUCACUAUCCUACAGGAGAUUGAAAUUAAGCAAAGUUGGAAUAUAUAAACAUUAAAUAUGCAAUUUAAUUUUAAAAUAAACAAAUAAAAACAUCUAAAAUUAGAACUCCAAAGGGGUUGGAAGGAUGGGAACCUUUUUAUUUGUAUAGCUACUAUAAAGCAGCGUAAAGAUGAAUUACCUUAUUCAUUUGCAUUUUUUAGAUGCUAUAUUUUUAGGUAUGUGUAACUCUCCUUAAUUGACUUGUAACUUUAUUAUACAAUACAAUAGAUUGACUGUACUAAUUGGCUAGAGAAUGUCUUCUAGAUAAAGCUGUUCUUCUCAACACUAUUUAUGUACUGCUUCAUUACAUCAACAAUAUAUUAUACAAUUACUGAUUAUAUUGUUGUUAUUAAAACCUCUUGAAAUUUGCUGAAUAAAAAAUCCCCUCUAAAUUCCU